rnacentral:rRNA from 1 species
AUAUCAAUAAGCGGAGGAAAAGAAACCAACAGGGAUUGCCUCAGUAACGGCGAGUGAAGCGGCAAAAGCUCAAAUUUGAAAUCUGGCUCUUUUAGGGUCCGAGUUGUAAUUUGUAGAAGAUGUUUCGGGUGUGGCUCCGGUUUAAGUUCUUUGGAAUAUUACAUCAUAGAGGGUGAGAAUCCCGUAUGUGACCGGCAGCCUUUCGCUAUGUGAAACUCUUUCGACGAGUCGAGUUGUUUGGGAAUGCAGCUCCAAAUUGGGAGUUAAAUUCUUCUAAAGCUAAAUAUUGCCAGAGACCGAUAGCGCACAAGUAGAGUGAUCGAAGAUGAAAGCACNNNUUGGAAAGAGAGUUAACNAGUACGUGAAUGNNNUGAANNGGGAAGCGCUGCAANCCAGACUUGCACGCAGUUGAUCAUCCGGUGUUCUCACCGGGGCACUCUGCUGCGUUCAGGCCAGCAUCGGUUUUGGUGGUUGGAUAAAGGCCUUGGGAAUGUGGCUUCCUUCGGGGAGUGUUAUAGCCCUCGGUGCAAUGCAGCCUACCGGGACCGAGGACCGCGCUUCGGCUAGGAUGCUGGCGUAAUGGUUGUAAGCGA